CUGGACAUCCAGAGGUUAGGCUGCAUUAAAAAAUUCACCAUCUUUCCUGGUGUGAUUGGCUCAUAAGGCGGUGAAGCCCUCUCUGAUUGUGUGAGAAAUAAACAUGGUGAAAUCUGAGAACAUAGUGGAGUUUGAUGCGUCCAGACUAGAAACCCAGUGUCUCGUGUUGUCACGUUUUUCACCGUGCUUCUCACAUACGUACGCCAUGCUCCGCUUUCUUUUAUAUUGCUCAUCGCUGCCGUGAGCGGCCGGCACGUGAUGGACCUGGUCGUGUCGUGCACCCUUCUGUCGGGCAAGGACGACGCUAGCGUUUCGACCAUCGUCACCAGGUCCAGUGUGGGAGGCAGCAAUGUGGCAAGCUAUAGGAGCCAGUCCAGUAAGAGGAUGCCGGUGUUUCGUGCAUAUUUACUAGGUCCAGCUUGGGAGGCAGCAACGUGGCCAACUGUACGAGCCAGUCCAGUAAGUUCUCCUGUAGGACCACCGGACACUCGGGCAGUCAUACAUUGGCGUCGCCCCAACGGCCAACUCGACUAUCGCGAGCUGCUCGAGCCUUCAGCAAAUGGGUGACACCCGCCGUAGCCACCAAGGCGACCAGCAACCUCUCCUCGAGGUGGACGGCGUAGCCGUCACUCGGGCAGAACACCAGCACCACAAGUCCCAGAAAAGUGGCCGCAUCGGGAAGGUCCAUGGCCAUGUAAUGCCGACUGCCCGUGCGGAUACAGUUUGCAGGCUUGUUGCGGAGCAGGCAGGAAGCUGUACGUCGGGCUGAAGGAAGCAGUUGACGUAUUUGUUGUAAACUGAAAUCUCCGUGACAUCCACAAAGAGCAAUGUGCUCAUCGUCAGUGGCGAUGAUGGCGAGGACCUCCCCACCACGGACUUGGAACGACAAUCCCUCGAUCGGGAGCAACUUGCUGCCGGACCGCCGAACAGCCGCUGACCCAGGCUGGAGAAGUUCAACUGGAACGUCAAGUAUCGAACCGGCGUCAGAGUGGCCACAUCUAUCAUCACGACAACGAGGCAACUGACACCAUUGCUGGAAAUCCCGACAAACGCCUGGUUACGCACACACAUACACAAAAAUAAAGACUCAAAACAGCGCUGGCCACAAGGCCAGAAGAAUACGACGAUGGCGGCGUUCAGCGCCGAUGACGUGCAAGACAACUCGCGCUUUCGUACCGCGAGUCUAACUAAUGAGUAUUUGCGGGGUAGAUCUUCGGUAGCCUCAGGAGAUGUUAGGGCGGGUCAUUGAAAUAGAGCUCGGUAACACAGGCUUACGGAGUUACCCUGUUGGUAACGGCAGAGGAAACGCGACGAGCGAAACGUUGGUGGAUGGCAUGAAUGGCCCAAAGAACGGAAAACCACGCACGACGGCAAAAUGUGAUGUUCACGGGAGCGUAUUCGCGCAAUGUGUUCUUCAUCCAGUCACCAAGGUGUUUUUGCACCCUUUUAACCCUGUACUGCACAACGCAGAUUCUGUAUAGUGCGCGUUUGAGGCUUCGUAAUUUAAAUUUGCGCACGUGGAACACAAGUAGUCGUAUUAAUUCACCAUCAGGGCAUUUUUGUGUCCACUACAUGACGAAGGCCUCUCCCAGCGAUCUCUCGUUACGGCUAGGAGGAGAGGGAG